rnacentral:rRNA from 1 species
GGUUAAGCGACUAAGCGUACACGGUGGAUGCCCUGGCAGUCAGAGGCGAUGAAGGACGUGCUAAUCUGCGAUAAGCGUCGGUGAGGUGAUAUGAACCGUUAUAACCGGCGAUUUCCGAAUGGGGAAACCCAGUGUGAUUCGUCACACUAUCAUUAACUGAAUCCAUAGGUUAAUGAGGCGAACCGGGGGAACUGAAACAUCUAAGUACCCCGAGGAAAAGAAAUCAACCGAGAUUCCCCCAGUAGCGGCGAGCGAACGGGGAGGAGCCCAGAGCCUGAAUCAGUGUGUGUGUUAGUGGAAGCGUCUGGAAAGGCGUGCGAUACAGGGUGACAGCCCCGUACACAAAAAUGCACAUAUUGUGAGCUCGAUGAGUAGGGCGGGACACGUGGUAUCCUGUCUGAAUAUGGGGGGACCAUCCUCCAAGGCUAAAUACUCCUGACUGACCGAUAGUGAACCAGUACCGUGAGGGAAAGGCGAAAAGAACCCCGGCGAGGGGAGUGAAAAAGAACCUGAAACCGUGUACGUACAAGCAGUGGGAGCCUCUUAAUGGGGUGACUGCGUACCUUUUGUAUAAUGGGUCAGCGACUUAUAUUCUGUAGCAAGGUUAACCGAAUAGGGGAGCCGAAGGGAAACCGAGUCUUAACUGGGCGUUAAGUUGCAGGGUAUAGACCCGAAACCCGGUGAUCUAGCCAUGGGCAGGUUGAAGGUUGGGUAACACUAACUGGAGGACCGAACCGACUAAUGUUGAAAAAUUAGCGGAUGACUUGUGGCUGGGGGUGAAAGGCCAAUCAAACCGGGAGAUAGCUGGUUCUCCCCGAAAGCUAUUUAGGUAGCGCCUCGUGAAUUCAUCUCCGGGGGUAGAGCACUGUUUCGGCAAGGGGGUCAUCCCGACUUACCAACCCGAUGCAAACUGCGAAUACCGGAGAAUGUUAUCACGGGAGACACACGGCGGGUGCUAACGUCCGUCGUGAAGAGGGAAACAACCCAGACCGCCAGCUAAGGUCCCAAAGUCAUGGUUAAGUGGGAAACGAUGUGGGAAGGCCCAGACAGCCAGGAUGUUGGCUUAGAAGCAGCCAUCAUUUAAAGAAAGCGUAAUAGCUCACUGGUCGAGUCGGCCUGCGCGGAAGAUGUAACGGGGCUAAACCAUGCACCGAAGCUGCGGCAGCGACGCUUAUGCGUUGUUGGGUAGGGGAGCGUUCUGUAAGCCUGUGAAGGUGGCCUGUGAGGGUUGCUGGAGGUAUCAGAAGUGCGAAUGCUGACAUAAGUAACGAUAAAGCGGGUGAAAAGCCCGCUCGCCGGAAGACCAAGGGUUCCUGUCCAACGUUAAUCGGGGCAGGGUGAGUCGACCCCUAAGGCGAGGCCGAAAGGCGUAGUCGAUGGGAAACAGGUUAAUAUUCCUGUACUUGGUGUUACUGCGAAGGGGGGACGGAGAAGGCUAUGUUGGCCGGGCGACGGUUGUCCCGGUUUAAGCGUGUAGGCUGGUUUUCCAGGCAAAUCCGGAAAAUCAAGGCUGAGGCGUGAUGACGAGGCACUACGGUGCUGAAGCGACAAAUGCCCUGCUUCCAGGAAAAGCCUCUAAGCAUCAGGUAACAUCAAAUCGUACCCCAAACCGACACAGGUGGUCAGGUAGAGAAUACCAAGGCGCUUGAGAGAACUCGGGUGAAGGAACUAGGCAAAAUGGUGCCGUAACUUCGGGAGAAGGCACGCUGAUAUGUAGGUGAAGCGACUUGCUCGUGGAGCUGAAAUCAGUCGAAGAUACCAGCUGGCUGCAACUGUUUAUUAAAAACACAGCACUGUGCAAACACGAAAGUGGACGUAUACGGUGUGACGCCUGCCCGGUGCCGGAAGGUUAAUUGAUGGGGUUAGCGGUAACGCGAAGCUCUUGAUCGAAGCCCCGGUAAACGGCGGCCGUAACUAUAACGGUCCUAAGGUAGCGAAAUUCCUUGUCGGGUAAGUUCCGACCUGCACGAAUGGCGUAAUGAUGGCCAGGCUGUCUCCACCCGAGACUCAGUGAAAUUGAACUCGCUGUGAAGAUGCAGUGUACCCGCGGCAAGACGGAAAGACCCCGUGAACCUUUACUAUAGCUUGACACUGAACAUUGAGCCUUGAUGUGUAGGAUAGGUGGGAGGCUUUGAAGUGUGGACGCCAGUCUGCAUGGAGCCGACCUUGAAAUACCACCCUUUAAUGUUUGAUGUUCUAACGUGGGCCCCUUACCGGGGUUGCGGACAGUGUCUGGUGGGUAGUUUGACUGGGGCGGUCUCCUCCUAAAGAGUAACGGAGGAGCACGAAGGUUGGCUAAUCCUGGUCGGACAUCAGGAGGUUAGUGCAAUGGCAUAAGCCAGCUUGACUGCGAGCGUGACGGCGCGAGCAGGUGCGAAAGCAGGUCAUAGUGAUCCGGUGGUUCUGAAUGGAAGGGCCAUCGCUCAACGGAUAAAAGGUACUCCGGGGAUAACAGGCUGAUACCGCCCAAGAGUUCAUAUCGACGGCGGUGUUUGGCACCUCGAUGUCGGCUCAUCACAUCCUGGGGCUGAAGUAGGUCCCAAGGGUAUGGCUGUUCGCCAUUUAAAGUGGUACGCGAGCUGGGUUUAGAACGUCGUGAGACAGUUCGGUCCCUAUCUGCCGUGGGCGCUGGAGAACUGAGGGGGGCUGCUCCUAGUACGAGAGGACCGGAGUGGACGCAUCACUGGUGUUCGGGUUGUCAUGCCAAUGGCACUGCCCGGUAGCUAAAUGCGGAAGAGAUAAGUGCUGAAAGCAUCUAAGCACGAAACUUGCCCCGAGAUGAGUUCUCCCUGAGACUUAGAGUCUCCUGAAGGAACGUUGAAGACGACGACGUUGAUAGGCCGGGUGUGUAAGCGCAGCGAUGCGUUGAGCUAACCGGUACUAAUGAACCGUGAGGCUUAACCUU